AACGCACCUUGCGCCUCUUGGUAUUCCGAGAGGCAUGCCUGUUUGAGUGUCAUGAAAUCUCAAUCCCCGAGGGUUUUUUGAAUCAGCGGUGGACUUGGACCUGGGUGUCUGCCUGACAAGGCUCACCUCAAAUGACUUAGUGGGACUCUCUUGAACCUACGCCUGACGUGAUAAGUUUCGUCUUGGCUGGUCUUGAGGCCUGCUCAGAACUCCCAAUCUUUUUGACAUUUGACCUCAAAUCAGGUAGGGCUACCCGCUGAACUUAA
rnacentral:misc_RNA from 1 species